CUAUUUUGGCUCUAUCAUGCAUAAGCAUGUUUAGUUUUAGUUUUCAUCAACUAAAAUUCAAAACGAACUGGCUAUGCUGCCACUGCCUAUGAAAGAUGGCGCCCAGAUGGUUCAAAAAACAAAAGAGCAGUGAGUCACACAGGCAUAUAAUCAACCGGCCUGCAUCUUAAGUUCUUAUAUUUUUUUUAAAUUCCAAAUUGAAAAAUCAAGUGUGGUAAAAAAAAAAUCAUUGAUAUCUUCCAUUUCACGUAGAUCGUUCAACAUUCGAGACGAACGUCGUUUACGUAAUGAUUACAGAAUAUACAAACACGUGAAUCAACUAGUGACAAAUCACAAAGGUAUCACACGAAGACGAAACGAAAAAAGGUGCAAACAACCACGUCUCGAAUGAACUAAGAAUGAUUAAAUCUCUAUUCCUACGGCCUCAGCCCAGUUUAACUUUGUGGAUGGGAAAACUACAAAAUUGAUAUAGAAUGUUCAGAAAGCUAGGUACUUCUCACAUAGAAGGGUUGAAUGUGUUAGUGCCAAAGUGGAAGGGAAUGAAACAUACUUGGGUAUCUCAAAGUGGAAAAUAUCCUGUUAAAUACUCAUUAGAUAUGAUGUAUUGGUGAUUUCACAAAACAAUAGUGCCUGAAUCACUAUUUUGUAAAGUUCAAAGAUGUGCCAGUUUUUAAACUAA